UGUCUUACCUGACAAUGGAGAUACCAUUAUUACGAAGGUGGUUUUCCUAGGCAAGGCCUAUCCAUUGCACUCUGGAUGUGCUGACCCCUGUGAUUUCCCCAAAUGUGGGGAAUUCGACUGCAUAAUUUGUGGCAGUGGGGAACUGUUUAAAAAAUGACUGUG